rfam:Musa acuminata subsp. malaccensis Doubled-haploid Pahang (DH-Pahang) genomic chromosome, chr3
GACAACAGUGAUGAUCCUACAGACCUGUAAUGAUUCUGCGGAUAUGAUCGCAGAUAUAAUGCUGAAUAACAUCUAAGGGACUGAGUAUUU